rnacentral:rRNA from 1 species
UUUAAUUCGAAGCAACGCGAAGAACCUUACCAGGUCUUGACAUCCUCUGACAACCCUAGAGAUAGGGCGUUCCCCUUCGGGGGACAGAGUGACAGGUGGUGCAUGGUUGUCGUCAGCUCGUGUCGUGAGAUGUUGGGUUAAGUCCCGCAACGAGCGCAACCCUUGUUCUUAGUUGCCAGCAUUUAGUUGGGCACUCUAAGGAGACUGCCGGUGACAAACCGGAGGAAGGUGGGGAUGACGUCAAAUCAUCAUGCCCCUUAUGACCUGGGCUACACACGUGCUACAAUGGAUGGUACAAAGAGCCGCAAACCCGCGAGGGCUAGCUAAUCUCAUAAAGCCAUUCUCAGUUCGGAUUGUAGGCUGCAACUCGCCUACAUGAAGCCGGAAUCGCUAGUAAUCGCGGAUCAGCAUGCCG